ACUCCUACGGGAGGCAGCAGUGGGGAAUAUUGCACAAUGGGCGAAAGCCUGAUGCAGCAACGCCGCGUGAGGGACGACGGCCUUCGGGUUGUAAACCUCUUUUAGUAGGGAAGAAGCGAAGUGUUUUACACGGAGUGACGGUACCUGCAGAAAAAGCACCGGCUAACUACGUGCCAGCAGCCGCGGUAAUACGUAGGGUGCAAGCGUUAUCCGGAAUUAUUGGGCGUAAAGAGCUCGUAGGCGGUUUGUCACGUCUGCUGUGAAAACUGGAGGCUCAACCUCCAGCCUGCAGUGGGUACGGGCAGACUAGAGUGCGGUAGGGGAGAUUGGAAUUCCUGGUGUAGCGGUGGAAUGCGCAGAUAUCAGGAGGAACACCAAUGGCGAAGGCAGAUCUCUGGGCCGUAACUGACGCUGAGGAGCGAAAGCAUGGGGAGCGAACAGGAUUAGAUACCCUGGUAGUCCAUGCCGUAAACGUUGGGAACUAGAUGUAGGGACCAUUCCACGGUUUCUGUGUCGCAGCUAACGCAUUAAGUUCCCCGCCUGGGGAGUACGG
rnacentral:rRNA from 1 species